rnacentral:lncRNA from 1 species
UGUGGCGCGUUUCUUUGUCUCUAAAAGUCUGAAAUCAGCAGUUCAUCGGUGAGGGCGCCACAUUCCACAUGGGGCAGUACAUGGCCGCUUUCAAGGCAAGGAAAGUCGUACAGUAGCUGCCAUAACUGGCGUGACCAGGGCAGUGACGUGUCCCAGAUGGUUAUAUGAAGCUGCCAUUGCCAUAACGUGUGGCGCGUUUCUUCGUCUCUAAAAGUCUGAAAUCAGAAGUUCAUCGGUGAGGGCGCCACCUUCCACAUGGUGCAGUCCACGGCCGCUUUCAAGGCAAGGAAAGUCAUACAGUAGCUGCCAUAACUGGUACCACUGCCAGAAAAUGAGACGCAUUUCUUCGUCUCUAAACGUCUUAAAUCAGCAGUUCAUCGGUGAGGGCGCCACCUUCCACAUGGGGCAGUACACGGCCGCUGUCAUGUCAAGGAAAGUCAUACAGUAGCUCCCAUAACUGGUAAA